rnacentral:lncRNA from 1 species
GCUGACCGAGCUCAUCUGGUCAUUUUAAAUGUACAGUAGACAUUAAACCAUGAUAUUUUAGUUCAACAUUUAUUUGUUAUUUUAUGUGCAAAAGUAACAGGUUUUCUUUUUGUUUUAAUAGCAAAUAGCAAGAGGACUGCACAGUGAAGCAAAUUGCAGAAAAUAUGAUCUGGAACAUGGAAUAUGCUCACCUUACAAUGAGAGAGUGACCUCCUAUUUAGUGAAAUCUAUUCUGGGGAGCCUACAUUUGCAGAGACCAACUUUGAAAUACUUUGAGCUACUACCUCCAGCUACAGCAGUAAAGAGUUCAAGCGCCAGAAAAGAAAGGGUAUCCAAACAGAAUCCUUUAUGAUGAGUACAAGUAUUGCCACAAGUCCUUUGGAUGCACCAUGAGGGCCUGUUCACUCUGUGCUCUAUAAGUUCCUUGGGUAGAUGAAGAGGAGGAAGAAGAAGAAAGUGACCUCUGCACAACACCAACUGAACCCCAGUCCUCCACCUAUGAUCCAGCGCA